rnacentral:rRNA from 1 species
CGCCAGUUUUGGCGGAGCCAUCCUUGGGAUACCACCCUUGUAGUACUGGGACUCUAACCAUAGGCCAUGAAUCUGGUCUUGGGACACUGUCAGGUGGGCAGUUUGACUGGGGCGGUCGCCUCCCAAAAGGUAACGGAGGCGCUCAAAGGUUCUCUCAGUACGGUCGGCAAUCGUACGUAGAGUGUAAAGGCAAAAGAGAGCUUGAUUGCAAGACAUACAGGUCGAGCAAGGAUGAAAAUCGGACUUAGUGAUCCGGUGGUUCUGCGUGGAAGGGCCAUCGCUCAACGGAUAAAAG